CGGCUGUAGGUCAUGGUUCCUGUCCAGUGGUCCCUUCCACACACGUAUGAUCUCAGGUCUUGGUAGCCUCCCUCCCUGCCCUUCAGGUGGUGAUGGCUCCCCACAGGCGCUGGCCUAGGGAACUGCACCCUCCUGUUGGGAUCUGCCUUAUCCACAUAUUACUGAAGUCCUUCUCGGAUGACCCAGAAGGAGUGGUCCAUGUGCCUUGCCAGUUUCUGCUCACCAUUCAUUGGUCAGACUUAGUGCCUUGGGCCCACCCCCUGCAAGGGGGUGGGAAGGGUGGUGCUGCUCAUGCUCAGGAAGAGAGAGAGAAACCGGAUGUGCAUGUGCUCUGUCUCGGUUACCGCAGAGCACACCUCAUAACUCUGGUCCUCAGCACUCUGCAUCUACAUAAAUGUCUUUCCAAGGAACUCAUCUUACUGCCUGUCAUAUAUUAUUCUUCAAAGCUUUUCUUCCCAGGGUGUGGCUGAACAGAAGGGUCUUUGGAUUCCUAUUUGGACUUUGCCUUGUCUCCACUGUGUGACUUUGGGCAUGUAAAUCCCCUUCUGUGCCUCAGUUUCCUCAUUUGCAAAGUGGGGUACAGAUGUUUUCCUUGUGGGCACAUUGCUGGCCUGAAAUAGCAUGCACAGGACCUGGGAGAAUGCAGUGAACAGCAGCUGGAAUUAACCAUCCCACCCGUGCCUGGGAAGAUCCGCAAGUAUGCAUUCAUAUAGCAGUGUCUCCCAAAUGCCUGCUCUGGGCCAGGCAUGCCUUGGACCUGGAAUAUGGAGUGAGGCGCAGGAGGAUCUUGCCUCAUGGAGCGUUUCUGGUGGAGUGGACAGACAAUGAGCAAAGGAAAAGAUAGGUCAUUCAUUGUGGUUUAUCUCUUCCACUGGGUGGGAGUCCCACGAGGGCCGAGGUGACGUCUGUCUGCCUGAUGCUGCAGCCCCGAUGCUCUGGCCCAGCACCUGGCCCGUGGUGGGCACCUGGGAAAUGUUUGCAGAAUAAAUGAAUCGUGUGAUUUUUUCCACUCCCUCUGUGGCGCUGGAUUGCAGGACACCUGUUUGCCUGCAGCACCGGAUCAUUCUGACCCUGCAGAAUCCCUUCUUGCUCUACUGGAUCGUGAGCUCCCUGUGACCUGGGAUGCUUCCUUACCUUAGUUUUCAUAGCCCACGGAUCCUCAGGCUGGAGCCAGGACCGCAGAGUGGCUGCCAGACACGCACAUCUGGAACCUGGCCCCUGGGAGCUGAGGACAAGCCUGGCUUUGAUCCAACAAUACACCUCCUGAGCUCCAGAGGGAAGAAAAUAGAUACUCUAUGCCAGGGGCAUGAAGGAGCGCACCUUGGUCUUAUUCCUCUCUGUGGUCCCUAUGGCUGGCACGGGCCUGGUAAGUGAAGCAGGGAGGGUCUACAGUCAUUUCUCUGUGGACUUUGCAAUGGAGUGACUGGCGCACCCAUGUCACAGAUUGGCUAACGGAGGCCCAGACUAUGAUGUGAUUUAUUGUGAUGGGAAUCUCCCUUGUGCCAUGUCAUCUUUUCUCCAAACCCUCCUUUGCACCUCCGAGCUGCAUGUGUCUCUGUCUGUGAUACCCUUUCUCCUCUUGUGACUGUAUAAUACAGGACACAUGGCACCUCCCCUAGGCACAGCUGGUCCCUGCCUUAUUAGAGUUUUGUACAAGUUUCACCAUGGCCCUUUAUCUCCCUGCCUGGUGACCUGUCCCUGGGAGGACAGAGUCAUGUGUGAGAUAUAGGCCAAGCUUUGGCCUGGCCCAGGGCAGACAGAACCAAUGCUAACCAAAGAGAUGAGUGAACGAACUGCACUGGUGUGUUUCAUUAAGUGUCUUCUUAACUCAAAGCAGAGGAGGUUGCUUCCAGUCUUCAGGGAGACAGGCUUAUGGUCUCCCGAGUGCCACAGCCACUUGUCAUAGUCUUCUAACAUGCAAGAUGCCCCAAAUUGGAUUCAUUCACUUCCGACCAGAUCUGCCAUGAGCAACAGCUUUACCAUCUUUCCGGUUUCUUUAACGUGUAACUCCAGUAGCACGUGUGGAGCCCCUUCCUGGUAUGUCUCCUGCCCGCCCCAGUUCCCAUCUCCUCCUUCCUGCCCCUCCGCCUGCUGCUCUUGGCUUCACCUCUGUUCCCCUCCCUCGCAGGGAGCUGACUCCUGGCUCCAACCCAGCCGGCAGCCCUGGCUCCCCACAGCAUUGCCAGAGUGGGCUGUGCGGGUGUUCGCAGUGAUUCCGAGGAUAAAGGGGCCCGUGGUCAAGCGAGUGGGGACUGGCCAAAUGAAGCCAAGCCGAUUCCCCUCCAGGACUUCUCGGGGCCUUUAAUGUGCUGUUUUGGACCGUGAUUCUCAGAGAGGCAGCACAGCGUGUGACAUUUCUAGAACUUAUUUGAUCGUGAACCUUUUGAUGCAGUAAUAAAACACCCAGGGAAGGGGCGUUCUAAGAAAACGCUCAACUCCCAACCCUGGCCAUCAAGACCCAGCUCGGAGUGACCUGGUCUACCUUUCCGACUGACGCUCUGGCUGCCCUGGUACUUUCAGAAAAACCUGGCCCAGAACAGCACCUCGGGAGGCUGUGAGCCCUUCUGCUUCUGCCUCUCGCCCACUCACCCUCCUGCCAGGCUCGCUCUUGCCAUGGGUCCACACCUGCCUUUUCUUUAAGGCCAAUCCCAAUGUCACCCCUCAUCUGCUCUCUGCCAUGGAGCCCUCCCAAAGGAUGUAAGCAGCACGGGCGACUGCUCCCUCUUCUUGUCCCAGAGCCCCACAUCUUGCAGAUGUUAGAUCACCCUGAUUAUGACAGCAUUACAGGGAGAUCUUGGGAUCCACUCUAAUUUACUAAAACAAACAAACAAACAAACAAACAAAAACAAACCCUCACUGACAACCCUUGGUAUUUUAAUGAGCAACCAGCAAGGCACCGUGUUCAUGAUGCUUCACUCCACGGACACAUCCUGACGCAGUGGCUGAGGGCCUCUGCAUGACCUGCACGUUUCCAAGGAUGACAUCUGCCUACGUGGCCCCUUUGUGCAGUGGGACUCCUGAUUCAGUGGCCCAGACGUCACGCAGAACUACCUGCUUCUGGUGUUUAGUCACAUGGUGGGCUCCCCCAAAGGAACAGUUCCACUCAUGUUCCAGGGGGGGACUGAGGUUGACCGAUAGCCCACCCGAUGCUACUUAAUUCCUGCCCUGUCACCUGGAUGGCUGAGACAGGGCCAGAAGGGAGCUCCCAAGGGGAGAGGGAGUCUUGGGAGGGUUGAAGGAUUUGCUCAAGAUUAUACAGUUAGAUCCCGGCGCGGUAGCACAUGCCUGUAAUUCUAGUGGCUCCAGAGGCACAGGCAGGAGGAUCGCGAGUUCAAAG